rnacentral:rRNA from 1 species
GAUGAACGCUGGCGGCGUGCCUAAUACAUGCAAGUAGAACGCUGAAGGAGGAGCUUGCUCUUCUGGAUGAGUUGCGAACGGGUGAGUAACGCGUAGGUAACCUGCCUGGUAGCGGGGGAUAACUAUUGGAAACGAUAGCUAAUACCGCAUGACAACAGUUAUUGCAUGAUAACUGUUUAAAAGGGGCAACUGCUCCACUACCAGAUGGACCUGCGUUGUCUUAGCUAGUUGGUGAGGUAACGGCUCACCAAGGCGACGAUACAUAGCCGACCUGGGAGGGUGAUCGGCCACACUGGGACUGAGACACGGCCCAGACUCCUACGGGAGGCAGCAGUAGGGAAUCUUCGGCAAUGGACGGAAGUCUGACCGAGCAACGCCGCGUGAGUGAAGAAGGUUUUCGGAUCGGAAAGCUCUGUUGUAAGAGAAGAACGAGUGUGAGAGUGGAAAGUUCACACUGUGACGGUAUCUUACCAGAAAGGGACGGCUAACUACGUG